CCUGCUUCCUCAAGAUGCCUUUUAUUUAUUUUUUUAGCUCAAAGUAAACCUUAAUCUUUCUUUUUCUUUCUGUUUUCUUCCCACUCUGCUCUCAGGUCAAGCAACCAAGAAAACAUAUAAGUAAAAAAAAAAAAAAGAGGAGGGAGGGGAUCUCUGGAGGAUCAGAGAGCGAGCGCAGGCAUCGCAGCACCACCUGCAGUACCUACGCACUCCAGGAGAGCAUCCGACCUUCAUCCAGACACGUGGAGUCCUGACGGAGACGAGCACGGCUGUGGGCCUCAGUAACCCAACUGUAGGUUUUAAACUUGUGUCGUGCCCCCCCCACCCCCACCCCCUCCCCCGUCUCUCUGACAGAGAACAACUUGCCUGCUAAAAGGGGUCACUGUGAACGAGGACGAAGCACGGGGGAAAAAGAAAAACACACAAAAAAAAGGGACAGUGGAUCUGCUUUCAAGAUAUCUUCUUUUCAAAUGUCAUUAAAGCCAUAUUCUCUUGGGGUUCCCAUUUUCCGAUUUCUGUUCUGUAUUGUUUAAGUGAUUUCUCUUCUGUGCCUCUUCUUGCAGUUGAUUUAAUUACCUUAACAGCAAGCUCUGCCACAUCCAGUACUUUGUGUUACUGAAAUCAACUCGAAUCGGUCCCAGAUGAUUGUUAUGUUAGAGUGAUGGCCGUUGUAAGUACAUAUAUAUUUUUUUGUAAAUAUUCGAGAGUAUUUUUCAUGUUUGGAGUACAACAAUAUAGAUAUCCAGUCUUUGUUCAAUAGGAUCUGGAUGGUAAUGAGAAGCACCACAAAGUGUUCACUUUGCAUGUGUCUGUUCUAUUUGAUGUAAACAAGGAAAACAAAAAAGAGAAAUAAAUUCUGAAAACGAUAAUAAUCUUCAGCAUCCUUUCAGCCGUUUGUUUUUCUUUACCAGAACUGAACUUCAUUAAAUGACAGAAUAUGGCUUUAAUCUGGUGGUGAAUCUCCCCCCCCCCCCUUCUCUGUAUCUGCACGCAUGUUUGUUUUAUAUAGUUUGGUACUGGGUAUAUUAUGCCUAAUCAUGGUGUGGGAAGCAUUACUACCAGAGCAAUCAUGCAAGUAUGUUGUGAUGUCUGUCAAAUUAUGAACAUGUAAUAAAAAUCAUUUUGUUAUCUUUUAUACAACUAAA